GCUACAGGAAGUGACUGAUCAAACAGGAAGUGCCUGGCCUAUAAAGGAAGCAGGAAGUUGAGGGUUCCUUCUUUGAUCUUCAAGGCUGCACAGAGCAGGCAGCAACAGAAAUUUUUCACUUCUUCUUCAAUCUGGUGAAUAAAUCAAAGGAGUCACUAACAUCCUGACUCACUCAUCGUUGAAUGGAGUUUGUCUGACUGUUAACCUACCUGCACCAAACACGUGGAGGACUGUACACACACCUGUGGAGGAUGUAGAGGACCAUCUCUUUGCUUCCUGCACUGGCAGCGUGAUGACGUCAACUGCAGCCGGACGAGUCGAGUGAGGUGAGGUGGGCUCCCUCCAGGUGGGGCUCCUGCAGCUGAUGAUUCAAUUCAAAGACACAUGGGCAGCCUGACCAAAACAAGAUGAAGAGCUGUUAGCAUGUCUGCUACACCACGCUGCCUCACCUGCUUCCUUCAACAUUUGGUGUUUCCUCGCUGCAGCUGGAAGGAUCUUCUGAGGAUUAAAGUUUACUUGUUAGUUUUACUGUCUGUUUUCUCUUAAGCCACUUUCAUAAAUAAAAUUUUAAAGUCUU